UUCGCCCUUAGAGUUUGAUCCUGGCUCAGGACGAACGCUGGCGGCGCGCCUAACACAUGCAAGUCGAACGGAGCUUAGAGAGCUUGCUUUUUAAGCUUAGUGGCGAACGGGUGAGUAACGCGUGAGUAACCUGCCCUAGAGUGGGGGACAACAGUUGGAAACGACUGCUAAUACCGCAUAAGCCCACGGUACCGCAUGGUACUGAGGGAAAAGGAUUUAUUCGCUUUAGGAUGGACUCGCGUCCAAUUAGCUAGUUGGUGAGGUAACGGCCCACCAAGGCGACGAUUGGUAGCCGGACUGAGAGGUUGAACGGCCACAUUGGGACUGAGACACGGCCCAGACUCCUACGGGAGGCAGCAGUGGGGGAUAUUGCACAAUGGGGGAAACCCUGAUGCAGCGACGCCGCGUGGAGGAAGAAGGUUUUCGGAUUGUAAACUCCUGUCGUUAGGGACGAUAAUGACGGUACCUAACAAGAAAGCACCGGCUAACUACGUGCCAGCAGCCGCGGUAAAACGUAGGGUGCAAGCGUUGUCCGGAAUUACUGGGUGUAAAGGGAGCGCAGGCGGGAAGACAAGUUGGAAGUGAAAACCAUGGGCUCAACCCAUGAAUUGCUUUCAAAACUGUUUUUCUUGAGUAGUGCAGAGGUAGAUGGAAUUCCCGGUGUAGCGGUGGAAUGCGUAGAUAUCGGGAGGAACACCAGUGGCGAAGGCGGUCUACUGGGCACCAACUGACGCUGAGGCUCGAAAGCAUGGGUAGCAAACAGGAUUAGAUACCCUGGUAGUCCAUGCCGUAAACGAUGAUUACUAGGUGUUGGGGGGAUUGACCCCCCUCAGUGCCGCAGUUAACACAAUAAGUAAUCCACCUGGGGAGUACGACCGCAAGGUUGAAACUCAAAGGAAUUGACGGGGGCCCGCACAAGCAGUGGAGUAUGUGGUUUAAUUCGAAGCAACGCGAAGAACCUUACCAGGUCUUGACAUCCGAUGCAUAGCACAGAGAUGUGUGAAAUCCUUCGGGACAUCGAGACAGGUGGUGCAUGGUUGUCGUCAGCCCGUGUCGUGAGAUGUUGGGUUAAGUCCCGCAACGAGCGCAACCCUUAUUGCCAGUUACUACGUUAAGAGGACUCUGGCGAGACUGCCGUUGACAAAACGGAGGAAGGUGGGGAUGACGUCAAAUCAUCAUGCCCUUUAUGACCUGGGCUACACACGUACUACAAUGGCGUUAAACAAAGAGAAGCAAGACCGCGAGGUGGAGCAAAACUCGAAAACAACGUCUCAGUUCAGAUUGCAGGCUGCAACUCGCCUGCAUGAAGUCGGAAUUGCUAGUAAUCGCGGAUCAGCAUGCCGCGGUGAAUACGUUCCCGGGCCUUGCACUCACCGCCCGUCA
rnacentral:rRNA from 1 species